AUUGGUAAAAAUUAUAGAAGGAGAGAGAGAGAAGACCAAAACUGAGAGUUGUGAAAGUGAGGAAGGAAGCUGGAAGCACAUGGACUUGUCUGCUGUCGCCUCCUUCAUGUCUUCUUCAGUCUUCGAUUAAUGACAUUAAGUAACAUUCUACUUCUCUCUAAUCUCCCUCAUGGAAUUGCCACACCAUAACCACAAGGAGAUGUCUGCUUCUGUUGUCAACGGGAAUGAUUCUCUCACUGGCCACAUCAUAUCCACUACAAUUGGAGGAAAAAAUGGGGAGCCCAAACAGACAAUAAGUUACAUGGCAGAACGCGUUGUGGGAACUGGGUCAUUUGGAAUAGUCUUCCAGGCAAAAUGCUUGGAAACUGGGGAAGCUGUGGCCAUUAAGAAGGUUUUACAGGACAGAAGAUAUAAGAACCGUGAACUACAGUUAAUGCGCAUGAUGGAUCAUCCAAAUGUGAUCUCUCUGAAGCACUGUUUCUUUUCCACUACAAGUACAGAUGAACUUUUCCUUAAUUUGGUGAUGGAAUAUGUUCCAGAGUCUAUGUAUCGAGUUUUGAAGUUCUAUAGUAAUAAUGCUAAUCAGGGAAUGCCACUCAUCUACGUAAAACUUUACAUGUAUCAGAUUUUCAGGGGGCUGGCUUAUAUCCACACUGUCCCUAGAGUUUGCCACAGAGAUUUGAAGCCCCAAAACAUACUGGUUGACCCUCUUACACACCAGGUUAAGAUAUGUGAUUUUGGAAGUGCAAAAGUGAUGGUCAAAGGUGAAGCUAAUAUAUCAUAUAUAUGUUCACGUUUCUAUCGAGCACCAGAGCUUAUAUUUGGUGCCACUGAGUAUACUACUUCAAUCGAUAUUUGGUCAGCUGGCUGUGUCCUUGCUGAACUGCUUUUGGGCCAGCCAUUAUUUCCUGGCGAAAAUGCAGUGGACCAGCUUGUGGAGAUUAUCAAGGUUCUUGGCACACCCACUCGGGAGGAAGUUCGCUGUAUGAAUCCUAACUACAAUGACUUCAGGUUUCCACAGAUUAAAGCACAUCCAUGGCACAAGAUAUUCCACAAAAAAAUGCCUCCAGAAGCAAUUGAUCUUGCUUCACGGCUUCUGCAGUACUCCCCUAGUCUUCGUUGUACUGCGCUAGAAGCAUGUGCACACCCAUUCUUUGAUGAACUCCGUGAACCCAAUGCUCGCUUGCCAAAUGGACGUCCAUUUCCUCCUCUGUUCAACUUUAAACAAGAGUUAUCUGGAGCGUCUCCAGAGCUCAUUAAUAAGUUGAUACCUGACCAGAUGAAGCGUCAGAUAGGGCUACAAUAUGCCCAUGUGGCUGGAACAUGAUGUUAAGCUCAGCGCAAAGUGUGUUCUAAACUAAUGGAUACAACGGAGAGGGGUACCAUCUUAAUAUCUAAAUUACAAGUUACUGUAUGGUGGCAGUAUAAUUCUGUGCAUGACUGGGACUGAGACUUGGGUUCUGGAUGGUUGCAGUUGAUCCACCACUUCAGCCAGCAUAUACCUUCUGGUGGAGAUUUGUUGCCCCAGGCAAAAUAGCUUCUUCCUUCCAUGAUUAUAGUAAACCUCUAUGUCUAGUAUAGUAUGGUUGGCCUGAAUUGAUCACAAUGCUUAUGUCAAGGGAAAACAACCCCUACCUGGAAGGAGGGUCCCUCAGAUAAAUGAUGGAUCUUGAUGGUGGACAAUGUUGGUUGUUGGGUUUGGCUUCCUCGUGUCAAAUAUGUGACUGAUUCGCCAUGUCACAAACAUGCUCCUUGUGAAAUAGCUUGAGCACAUGAUUAACCAGUUGUUGUCGGCAGCAUUGACGAUGAUCAUAGAUAUCAUAUUAGGAAUUUUCUCUCACACACAAGUUGUCCUGCUCAUCAAGUUUAUCUUUGCAGUUGGGCAUGUGAUCAUGUUGAAAAAUGAUGUUCCGCUACUAGCCACUUCCAUGUUUUCAGGAAUCUAGAUCUAAAUGAUUUGCACACAUGAUGGUAACAAAAUAAAACAAAAAAUUGAACUGUGCUAUAUGCUAACACUGGAUAUAUAUGGCAACAGAAAAGGAAAUGGGAAAUAUGCAAAAUGUUUUUUCUUUCUG